CCCCUGGCCUUACAUUUCAACUCAGUGGGCAGAAGGGUAUAAAUUUCAGCUGUUCUCAGCCCUGCUGCCUUUUUACCAAAGACUUCCCACAGCACCAUGAAGUUCGUAGGCUUCUUCCUCCUUGCACUCCUCCUCACCCUCAGCCUAGAGGUACAGGAGCUCCAGGCUGCCGUGAGACCGUUGCAACUUUUGGGCACCUGCAUGGAGCUCUGCAGAAAUGACUGGGACUGUGCCCCAUGGGAAAUUUGUGGCAGCAGAGGGUGCAACAAAGUCUGUGUUGCCGUAUAAGGGGAAGAGUUAUUUUAAGGGUCAUCCUUCUCUGAUAAUUGCUCAUCCCUUCCUGGAGUUGCUGUCUUCAAAGAUGUGACUGUUCGGAGCUCUUUGCCAAGGAAGACAGAUGAAAAUGGGGAACCUGUGAAUGGAGAUGACAAGGGAUGUGGUGGGGAAGGAAAAAGAGUUGUUUCUUUCAAUAAACCAUCAUUGUUAAAAGUA